GUAGACUGCACGUCCCUGGCCAAGCCCAGUCUGAGCAGCCCAGUGUCUGCUUCUCUUGGCAACUGCGGUGCAGGGUGCCCAGCUGGGCAGGGGCUGCCAAGGAUCCACACACUACCCUUCUCUGCCCUACUGCAUGCCCCAAGAGGUCGGCCUGACACAGAGAAUCUGGAAGAAGAACUGAAUGUACAGGCACAGUACUUCCUCUUAGCACCCACAUAGGAUGACUGUGAAGUGAGCUGACAGUUUAUAAGAUCCCCUUGGAUGAAAACAAGAAGCCAAUGACAGCUGAGUAACAGGAUGAAGGCUUCUUGAUAAGGCUUUUUGGAGUCUGGGGCCUCCCUGAAGAAGGCUGGCAUCUGUGUGAACCGCAGAGCAGCGACAGCGCGGUGCCUCCUAGACGACUGCAUUCCUUUUUUAAUAUAAAGCUUUCAUUUAAUAAAUAGAACUUUCAUAAGUACAACUUUUGGAUUAUAGUGGUUCUUCUCCCCAUACUUCCCUCCCAUUCCACCUCCUACUCCCUCUCCCAUCCCAUUCUUCAUUAAGAUUUGUUUUUAAUUAUCUUUAUAUACAGAAUGUCAACUCUAUAUUAAGUAAAGAUUUCAACAGUUUGCACACACACACACAAAGUAUAAAGUACUGUUUGAAGACUAGUUUUACUGU